UACGGGGGGGGCAAGCGUUGUUCGGAAUUACUGGGCGUAAAGGGUUCGUAGGUGGCCUGCUAAGUCAGACGUGAAAUCCCUCAGCUUAACUGGGGAACUGCGUCUGAGACUGGUGGGCUUGAGUGCAGGAGAGGAACGUGGAAUUCCAGGUGUAGCGGUGAAAUGCGUAGAUAUCUGGAGGAACACCGGUGGCGAAGGCGGCGUUCUGGACUGCUACUGACACUGAGGAACGAAAGCCAGGGGAGCAAACGGG
rnacentral:rRNA from 1 species